rnacentral:rRNA from 1 species
UACGUAGGGUGCGAGCGUUAAUCGGAAUUACUGGGCGUAAAGCGUGCGCAGGCGGCUUCGCAAGUCAGGCGUGAAAUCCCCGGGCUUAACCUGGGAAUGGCGUCUGAAACUACGGAGCUGGAGUGUGGCAGAGGGAGGUAGAAUUCCACGUGUAGCGGUGAAAUGCGUAGAUAUGUGGAGGAACACCGGUGGCGAAGGCGGCAUCCUGGACCGGUAUUGACGCUGAGGCGCGAAAGCAUGGGGAGCGAACAGG